GAGGAUUUAAGCCUGGAGCUUUUAGCAACAGUUUUGCCACUAUGAGAGCCGGGCCUGCCUGAGAAUGGAGUCAAGGCACAGGGAAGCAAAGGUUGCAACUUUAAUGUAACACUGAUACCAAGAACAUGACAACAGGACAAAAGCACACAACAAAAGCAGGAAGGGCGAAGACAGCUUCCUCUUGCGUGCCACCUUGGAUAGGCAGGUAGAAGGUGCCCCUAGUGCUGUGUUAUAAGAAGGAGUCUGAGGAGGCACUCUGGCUUGGCGAGUGACUGCUGCAGGUCAUCAGCACUGAUGGAUCUGGGAGAAGUUGGCACUUGCUCUGGCAGCAUUUCUGGCGGGGAUGAUGGAGCUGGUGCUGGGCCCAUCAAGAAUGUGGUGCUGGCCCCCCCACUGGAGCCACGGCUGAUGCCAGCUCUCCCAGUGCCUCUCCAGUUGGCAUGGUUGCCAUUCAGAAUUACUGAUGGUAUCUAGCCCAGAAAGCCAAGGGAACCCCGGCCCAGCGAUUGCUAAAAUCUCCAUCCUAAUACCACGUCAGAAGCUCCACCUGUGUGUCAUCCCAGCUCCACCGUCCAAUCAGCGCUUCAUCCCCGAUGUCCAUCUGGGCCCUCAUCUGGGCCCUGGCAUGUUCCUCAGCCAUAUCCACAUCCAUCAUCUUGAACGCAUCAUCCACAGCCUCCAAGAAAUGAGCUUUCCCUUCCCGGGGUCUCGGCUCUGAUGCUGGGUGAUGAAUCUCAGCACACCCACCUUGCUGGUCUUGUGGAAGGCUCUCAGACCCCAGAGGAAUUCAUACUCCACUGGGCUGCUAUUGGGGAUCUUCUUGUAUUCCAGGCCUUGGGGAUCAGAGUCCAGGCAGCCUGCUGAAAAAACCCUGCAGCUUGUCUAUACUUUCAAGUUUUCCAACUGGACUACUGAUGGAAAAUAUAUCUUCCAGAAUGGUCUCAAGGAUGCUAGAAAACCAUUGGUAAAUCAGGUGUGUGAUGACCAAAGCUGUUUGCCCAAAGGCUAUUCAUCUUCUGAACUGUCUACUUAUGAAGCCAUUUAUUUAUCUCUACGCCUGAGAAACAAGUUGCCUGAACUGUUUCAGAUUCCCUGCAAGCUGGCAGCCCCACUAAAGUUAUUUAUUUGGGGCACAGAGAGUGAGGUGGCUGUGUGGGGCUAAAAUAAUCGAGCUGUUCUUGCCCUUCAUGGCAACAAUGACAAUAAAACAAUUAUCAGGAAAUCGUCCAGGAAACAACUUUCAAACUGAAAGACUGAAGGGAUGAAACACUCCUGUCUUCAGGCUGCUUGUCGUCCAUCUCAAGGGUCCGCAAACUGUGGCACGACCGGUCAAGCCCAGAUUGCCACCUUUCUUGGUAACCACAGUUCUACUGGCACCUAGCCAUGCGCGCGCAUUUCCGUGUUGUCUGGGGCCACCUUCCCAUGCAUGACAGAGCUGAAGAGCCGUGGCAGAGUCCUCAUGGACCCCAAUGCCUAAAAUAUUUACUAUCUGGCCCUUCGUGGAAAGAGUUUCCUGAUCCUUGCCCUAUUUGGCUGUACUGGCUAAGGAACUGCUUAUGUGAAAUUGAUAAAAUGCCUUCGAGAAAGUACCCAGCAAUCCUUGGAAGGGACUGGUGAGUUGGGAACGAGAAACGGCUAUCAAGAGAUCUGUUUACAAUCACCCUCCAC